UGUUUCUCGAAAAUAUAAUGAGAAAUAAGGUCUGCCCAAUGAUUAUUUGAAUGGCCGCAGUAUCUUGACUGUGCGAAGGUAGCAUAAUCAAUUGUCUUUUAAUUGAGGUCUGGUAUGAAUGAUUUAAUGCGAGAUUAGCUGUUUCUUUAAGAACAACGAAUUUUUAAGGUAGGUGAAGAUACUUAUAUAUAAAUAAAAGACGAGAAGACCCUAUAAAGUUUUAUAUUUUAAACAAUGUUAUUUUUUUGUUUAUAAGUGUUUUAUUGGGGCAAUUGUAGAAUAAGAGAAACUUCUAGGUAUUUAUAAAUAUUAAUGAGUAUAUGGCUUAUGAUCCAAAAAUUUGAUUGUUAGAGUAAAUUACUUUAGGGAUAACAGCGUAAUUUAUUUAUAGAGUUCUUAUCGAUGAAUAAGAUUGCGACCUCGAUGUUGGAUUAAGAUACCUUUAGUGGCGCAGGAGUUUUAAGGGGUGGUCUGUUCGACCAUUAAAUUCUUACA
rnacentral:rRNA from 1 species